rnacentral:RNase_P_RNA from 1 species
GCAGCCUGCCGGCCUGCCGCUCAAUGAAAUAUUGGGAGGAAAGUCCGGGCAACACAGAGCGCCAUACUUCCUAACGGGAAGCUGUCUGCAAAGGCAGAGUAAUGUAACAGAAAAGAACCGUUCCGCUUGCGGAAUAAGGGUGAAAAGGCGAGGUAAGAGCUCACCGGUAGUAUAGUGAUAUGCUACGCCGUACGUCUUAUGGGUUGUAAGGCCAUGUACACCGGCGCAUGUAGGAUGGCUCGUCCGAUGCCGGGGGGUAGGCCGCUGGAGCUUACCGGCAACGGUAAGCCAAGAUAAAUGGCAGGCGCUUUUUCCAUUGAAAGCACAGAACCCGGCUUACAGGCAGGCUGCAAUU